UACGGAUGAUGCAAGCGUUAUCCGGAUUUAUUGGGUCUAAAGGGUCCGUAGGCGGGCUAAUAAGUCAGCGGUGAAAUCGAGCAGCUUAACUGUUCAACUGCCAUUGAAACAGUUGGUCUUGAGUGAAUUUGAAGUUGCCGGAAUAUGUAGUGUAGCGGUGAAAUGCAUAGAUAUUACAUAGAACACCAAUUGCGAAGGCAGGUAACUAAGAUUUAACUGACGCUGAUGGACGAAAGCGUGGGGAGCGAACAGGAUUAGA
rnacentral:rRNA from 1 species